rnacentral:piRNA from 6 species
ACAGGUCUGUGAUGCCCUUAGAUGUCCGG